rnacentral:ncRNA from 3 species
AACAGGCUAAUUUGCGCAAGAGUGUACAAAAUGAGUGCGCGGUUUGGCACCUCGAUGUCGGCUUAACUUAUCCUCAUGGACGCAGGAACUAUGUAGGGUGCGACUGUUCGUCGAUUAAAAAGUUACAUGAGCUGGGUUAAAUACGUCGUGAGACAGUAU